UACGUAGGUGACAAGCGUUGUCCGGAUUUACUGGGCGUAAAGAGCGCGCAGGCGGUCGAUCAAGUCGAGUGUGAAAGCCCCCGGCUCACCUGGGGAGGGUCAUUCGAAACUGGUCGACUCGAAGGCAGGAGAGGGUAGUGGAAUUCCCGGUGUAGUGGUGAAAUGCGUAGAUAUCGGGAGGAACACCAGUGGCGAAGGCGACUACCUGGCCUGUUCUUGACGCUGAGGCGCGAAAGCUAGGGGAGCAAACGGG
rnacentral:rRNA from 1 species